AUUGAACGCUGGCGGCAUGCCUUACACAUGCAAGUCGAACGGCAGCGGGGGAGAAGCUUGCUUUUCCUGCCGGCGAGUGGCGAACGGGUGAGUAAUACAUCGGAACGUGCCCUGUAGUGGGGGAUAACUAGUCGAAAGAUUAGCUAAUACCGCAUACGACCUGAGGGUGAAAGUGGGGGACCGCAAGGCCUCAUGCUAUAGGAGCGGCCGAUGUCUGAUUAGCUAGUUGGUGGGGUAAAGGCCUACCAAGGCGACGAUCAGUAGCUGGUCUCAGAGGACGAUCAGCCAAACUGGGACUGAGACACGGCACAGACUCCGACGGGAGGCAGCAUUGGGGAAUUUUGGACAAUGGGCGAAAGCCUGAUCCAGCAAUGCCGCGUGUGUGAAGAAGGCCUUCGGGUUGUAAAGCACUUUUGUCCGGAAAGAAAUGGCUCUGGUUAAUACCUGGGGUCGAUGACGGUACCGGAAGAAUAAGGACCGGCUAACUACGUGCCAGCAGCCGCCGUAAAAC
rnacentral:rRNA from 1 species